UGGAGUUUUAGAGGGUUCUUGAAUUAAAAUUUAUGGAGAGGAGACAUUAGGGUUCUUGAAGAUCAGGUUGUGUGAAGCGCGAUUAUAAAAGAGAAUUUUGAAACUCAAUAAGUUUUUUUUAUUUUUAGAAGUAGAAGAAGAGAAUUUUGAAGAGAAAUUUUAAGGGCCAAUUAUAUAUAAGUCCAUUUUGAGACAUUUUUUCCCACAUAGAUCCACCCCAACAUUUUUACCCACAUAAAUCCACCCAAGUCUAAAUAAGGUUUUGUAUUAAGUAUUGAAGUUCAACAUAAUUACAGACUGCCAUCCAACAAAAAAAAAGAUUUUCUCCUUUAUAUUUACAAGAAUGCCACUAGUAUAAAAAGUCAACAACCACUCAUUUCGGAACAGUCUCCGGUGGACCUCCGGCGAGGUUUCCGGCGGACCUCCGGGGAGGUUUCCGGCCGACCUCCGGCGAGGUUUCCGGCCGCCCUCCGGCGAGAUUUCCGACCGACCUCCGGCGAGGUUUCUGUCCGACCUCCGACGAUGACAAAAAUUACUACUACCAGCUAUAAAAGCUACUACUACCAGCUACAAAAGCUACUACCACCGCCUACAAAAGAUACUACUGUGAGGUUUCUGAUGAACACAAAAGCUACUACCACCAGCCACAAAAACUACUACCACAAGCUACAAAAGCUACUACCACCGCCUACAAAAGCUACUGCUGUGAGGUUUCCGACGAACACAAAAACUACUACCACCAGCUACAAAAGCUACUACCACUGCCUACAAAAGCUACUACCGAGAUAAACAAAAGCUACCACCAACAUAACAAAAGCUAGCUACUACCCCUAUAUACAAAAGCUACCGCCACAACAAAAGUUAUUACCGACAUAAACAAAAGCUACUACCCCUAUAUACAAAAACUACUACUGCCAGACAUAAAAGCUAUUGCCUCCAUCAAUAUAAGCUACUACCGUUACCAACAAAAAUUACUACUCUAACUAACAAAAGCUACUACUUUCACUGACAAAAACUACUACAAGAUAUUUACUACUGUUUGAACUCUCACAAUCUUCACCUCCACUUGAUUUCCUGCAAUUCGAAUCAAAAUCACGAUCCGUCAACACAUAUGCAAAUCACACUCACAUAUCUCGUGUUCGGAUUUACAGAAUCGUAGAGAGAAACAAAAAUUAAAAGAAAGAACUGCAUUACCUCUGUGAGAUCUAAAGAAUUAGAAGCAGAUCGAGAUUGAUUUGACUCCGGCGAUCUUGACGUCGAGAGGUCGUAACUCCAGACGACGAGGACGAUCAUUUGCGCACCACCACGUAAUCAAACAGUGUGUUCCUUCAACACCUUUUUCAGAGUUCUGACCUCCAUCCAAUCCUUGACGUGUUGCAGAUCGACGCCAGAGAAGCAGAUCGAUGUCGGUGUAGCAAAAUCGACGUCGGAGAUAUAGGCCUCGGNNNNNNNNNNNNNNNNNNNNUUUUUCCUCAGUUAUGGGUCGUUCCUAAUUGAACUAUUGGGCCAGGUCUAGGUUGGCUGGUUCGGGAUCGACCCAAAGAGUGUCUGGAGUUUGGACCAAGGUUCCCGGGUACAGACAGACUAAUCUCUAGGUACAGGCAUACGCUGGUCACAAAUAGGUAGAAAUUGAGACUCGAACACUAGGCAUAGGGAUUCCAUAUUAGGGCGGUCUCAACCAACCUCCCAACUUUUUUGUCAUAUCUCUACUAUAAUAAAACCAACAAUCAAGAAAUUCGCUAAAUUAUGAACGAACCUAAUUUCUCUUAAUGAGCCAAUUGAAACAAAUAAAAACAAGAGAAAUUUUAUUAACACGUCUCUAAAUGCUAGAUACACAUUUCUUUUUUGAGAAAUUUUAAAUACACACCCCUAAUAUCUUAAUACAC
rnacentral:lncRNA from 1 species